rnacentral:sRNA from 1 species
GACCACUCCAGUUGGAGUUAAGGCCAUACGGACAGCCGGGUCCACUGCCGA